GCCAGCAGCCAUGUUACCCUGAAACUCACAACUGGCAGCUAAGCAAGUGUGAGCCUGGUCAGUUCCUGGAUGGGAGACCUCCUUGGAAAAACUAAGGUUGCUGCUGGAA
rnacentral:rRNA from 1 species